GUGGGGAAUCUUCCGCAAUGGACGAAAGUCUGACGGAGCAACGCCGCGUGAGUGAUGAAGGUCUUCGGAUUGUAAAGCUCUGUUAAUCGGGACGAAAGAGCCUAGCGUGAAUAAUGCUAGGAAGUGACGGUACCGGAAUAGAAAGCCACGGCUAACUACGUGCCAGCAGCCGCGGUAAUACGUAGGUGGCAAGCGUUGUCCGGAAUUAUUGGGCGUAAAGCGCGCGCAGGCGGAUCUGCCAGUCUGUCUUAAAAGUUCGGGGCUUAACCCCGUGAUGGGAUGGAAACUACAGAUCUAGAGUAUCGGAGAGGAAAGUGGAAUUCCUAGUGUAGCGGUGAAAUGCGUAGAUAUUAGGAAGAACACCAGUGGCGAAGGCGACUUUCUGGACGAAAACGGACGCUGAGGCGCGAAAGCCAGGGGAGCGAACGGGAUUAGAUACCCUUGUAGUCC
rnacentral:rRNA from 1 species